AUUUUACUACAAAUACUUUAGCUUGGCCCCAGAAAGCUUUUAAUUUCAUCUCAACUCCCAAUCACACAAUUCCUAGUUUGAAUUUAUCUAACAAUACAAUCCCUCUUUAAUGUAUUUAGACAAGUAUUUGAAUAAUGAUAUUAAAGUACAAACAAAAGGAAUAUAGACAAACAAAAAAAGAAAAAAAAAAUAACAAAGAAACAAGCCAAAAGAGGAAAAGAAGAAAAG
rnacentral:lncRNA from 1 species